rnacentral:rRNA from 1 species
ACGGAGGGUGCAAGCGUUAUCCGGAUUUAUUGGGUUUAAAGGGUGCGUAGGCGGUUAUAUAAGUCAGCGGUGAAAUUUUUCGGCUCAACCGGAAACAUGCCGUUGAUACUGUAUAGCUUGAAUAUGGUUGCUGUGAGUGGAAUGUGUAGUGUAGCGGUGAAAUGCUUAGAUAUUACACAGAAUAUCGAUUGCGAAGGCAACUCACAAAGCCAUUAUUGACGCUGAGGCACGAAAGUGUGGGGAUCAAACAG